GCGAACUUGGCGGAAUGGUAGACGCAGGAGACUUAAAAUCUCCAGCCCAUAGGGCGUGCGGGUUCGAGUCCCGCAGUUCGCA
rnacentral:tRNA from 2 species